rnacentral:rRNA from 1 species
UACGGGGGGUGCGAGCGUUGUCCGGAUUUACUGGGCGUAAAGGGCGCGUAGGCGGUCAGCACAAGUCAGUUGUGAAAUCUCCGGGCUUAACCCGGAAAGGUCAACUGAUACUGUGCGACUAGAGUGCGGAAGGGGCAACUGGAAUUCUCGGUGUAGCGGUGAAAUGCGUAGAUAUCGAGAGGAACACCUGCGGCGAAGGCGGGUUGCUGGGCCGACACUGACGCUGAUGCGCGAAAGCCAGGGGAGCGAACGGG